rnacentral:rRNA from 1 species
GACCUAGCGGCGGACGGGUGAGUAAUGCUUAGGAAUCUGCCUAUUAGUGGGGGACAACAUCUCGAAAGGGAUGCUAAUACCGCAUACGUCCUACGGGAGAAAGCAGGGGAUCUUCGGACCUUGCGCUAAUAGAUGAGCCUAAGUCGGAUUAGCUAGUUGGUGGGGUAAAGGCCUACCAAGGCGACGAUCUGUAGCGGGUCUGAGAGGAUGAUCCGCCACACUGGGACUGAGACACGGCCCAGACUCCUACGGGAGGCAGCAGUGGGGAAUAUUGGACAAUGGGGGGAACCCUGAUCCAGCCAUGCCGCGUGUGUGAAGAAGGCCUUUUGGUUGUAAAGCACUUUAAGCGAGGAGGAGGCUACU